ACCAAUUCCAUGGGAUAAUUUGUUCCUUUUGGUAUAAUGGCUCGGGCGCUAGAUGAAUUCUUGAUGUGGUUAUCCUGAUCGUUGGCUCAUGUUUGUGCCAUCUGAUCCUGGAAACGCCACUUAUAUUU